UACGUAGGGGGCAAGCGUUGUCCGGAUUUAUUGGGCGUAAAGAGCGUGUAGGCGGCUUUACAGGUCCGUUGUGAAAACUCGAGGCUCAACCUCGAGACGCCGGUGGAAACCGUAAAGCUAGAGUCCGGAAGAGGAGAAUGGAAUUCCCGGUGUAGCGGUGAAAUGCGCAGAUAUCGGGAGGAACACCGGUGGCGAAGGCGGUUCUCUGGGCCUUACCUGACGCUGAGGAGCGAAAGCGUGGGGAGCGAACAGG
rnacentral:rRNA from 1 species